UACGAGGGGGGGCAAGCGUUGUUCGGAAUUAUUGGGCGUAAAGGGUGCGUAGGCGGUCUGAUAAGUCAUCUGUGAAAUCUAUGGGCUCAACCCCAUAGUCUGCAAGGCGAAACUGUCGGGCUUGAGUAUGGGAGAGGUGAGUGGAAAUUUCCGGUGUAGCGGUGAAAUGCGUAGAUAUCGGAAGGAACACCUGUGGCGAAAGCGGCUCACUGGACCAUUACUGACGCUGAUGCACGAAAGCUAGGGGAGCAAACAGG
rnacentral:rRNA from 1 species